UACGUAGGGGGCAAGCGUUGUCCGGAUUUAUUGGGCGUAAAGAGCGUGUAGGCGGCCAGACAGGUCAGCUGUGAAAACUCGAGGCUCAACCUCGAGACGUCGGUUGAAACCGUCUGGCUAGAGUCCGGAAGAGGAGAGUGGAAUUCCCGGUGUAGCGGUGAAAUGCGUAGAUAUCAAGAGGAACACCUGAGGUGAAGACGGGUUGCUGGGCCAACACUGACGCUGAGGCGCGAAAGCCAGGGGAGCAAACGGG
rnacentral:rRNA from 1 species